AUGUAAUUCCUCAUGAUCUCAUACCUUCCCUUGGGCAUAAUGGGAAUAUCUUUCAAACCCCAUUUUGGCUGAAAACCAAUUCCUAAAAAUCCAAUGCCCAAAUCCUCGGCCACAGCUUUAACCUGAUAAAGAUGUGAAUUAACCUCUGCACAAGUUUGAUGCAGUGUCUCAACGGGUGCACCACUGAGCUCAAACUGGCCACCUGGCUCUAGUGAGAUGCUUUGUUUGUCCUGUUUAAGGCCAAUAAUAUAAUCCCCUUCCAUUAUCUUUU
rnacentral:misc_RNA from 1 species